AGUAAGGAAUAUUGGUCAAUGGACGAAAGUCUGAACCAGCCAUGCCGCGUGGAGGAUGAAGGCCCUCUGGGUUGUAAACUUCUUUUAUCUGGGACGAAAAAGGGACUUUCUAGUUCAACUGACGGUACCAGAGGAAUAAGCACCGGCUAACUCCGUGCCAGCAGCCGCGGUAAUACGGAGGGUGCAAGCGUUAUCCGGAUUCACUGGGUUUAAAGGGUGCGUAGGUGGGCAGGUAAGUCAGUGGUGAAAUCUCUGGGCUUAACCCGGAAACUGCCAUUGAUACUAUUUGUCUUGAAUAUUGUGGAGGUCAGCGGAAUAUGUCAUGUAGCGGUGAAAUGCUUAGAUAUGACAUAGAACACCAAUUGCGAAGGCAGCUGGCUACACAUAUAUUGACACUGAUGCACGAAAGCGUGGGGAUCAAA
rnacentral:rRNA from 1 species